CUACGGGCGGCUGCAGUGGGGAAUAUUGCACAAUGGAGGAAACUCUGAUGCAGCAACGCCGCGUGGAGGAUGACACUUUUCGGAGCGUAAACUCCUUUUAUAUAGGAAGAAGAUGACGGUACUAUAUGAAUAAGCGCCGGCUAACUCCGUGCCAGCAGCCGUGGUGAAUACGGAGGGCGCAAGCGUUACUCGGAAUCACUGGGCGUAAAGAGCGUGUAGGCGGAUUAAAAAGUCAGAAGUGAAAUCCUAUAGCUUAACUAUAGAACUGCUUCUGAAACUCUUAAUCUAGAAUAUGGGAGAGGUAGAUGGAAUUUCUGGUGUAGGGGUAAAAUCCGUAGAGAUCAGAAGGAAUACCGAUUGCGAAGGCGAUCUACUAGAACAUUAUUGACGCUGAGACGCGAAAGCGUGGGGAGCAAACAGGAUUAGAUACCCCGGUAGUC
rnacentral:rRNA from 1 species